rnacentral:lncRNA from 1 species
ACAGUUUUUGCUUCAUCAUUAUGGGUUAUUGUGUGUAGAUUGAGGAAUUGUGUUUAUCCAUUUUAGAAUAAGGCUGUAAGAAAAUGUGGGAAAAGUCAAGGGUGUCUGAAUACUUUCCGAAUUCACUGUAUGUAUUUAUGCAUCGCAUGUCCCUUUCAUACUGUAUGUGUGUGUAUUCUCUGUUUGGAUAUAUGGGUGGCUGGGGACAGUAGUUGUCUUGGAUGCAGUUUUGUCAAUCAUCAAGGGACACUGGGAGCGGAAUCCGAGGGUACAGAUAAAGCGAGAGAAGGGAAAGAACAGCUGAGUGAUCACACCUGGCAGACGGGAGUGGCUACCAAACCAGCUAAAGAACUGGUGAACCUGCUAGUAUGGAUGCCCUCAUGGCCUGCCUGGUGGCCAUGUGUCUCUGUCUGGUCCUCCCAGUGAGCUGGUCCCAGAGCACACACAAGUCAGAGGAGUUUAUCAAUACCCAGCCUCAACCUGCCCCUGGAGUACUACCACAACUGGCUCCUGCAGCAGCACACAUCCAGGAUGUGCUGAAGAGUAAAGAGGAGACCGAGAUCACUUCAAAACAAAUGUAUGCGAAUGUGGGCCACGACAACGCCAAACUGGGCCUGUUCAUAGCUGCUGCCCUGGGAAUCGUGGCGCUGAUGGGCAUGGUCUACUGCAUCUACAUGCAGUUUUACACCAAGCACCAGUACCUGCACACCCAGCUCCACGAUGACUCUGAGUUGACCCUUGACCUCCCAGAGGCACCUCCUGUUUUCUUCCACGGUUCCGUCGGUGCAAUGGACAGAAAGGGAGAGGUGCGGGGAUCUGGUAAUGGAUCUUUCAUCUCUAACACACCCUCCACCAUCUCUGUACCGCCCAGGCUGUCCCCUCCUCCCUCCGCUGUGCCCUACCUUCCCCUCUUCCUCGCCUCUUACCCUCUCAGGACCAUAUCUGUUAGAGAUCUGGAGAGAAGCUUUGUCUGAAAUGAGGUACUUAUCACCAGUGACUGGAGACAUAUUAACCUGAUCAUUAAGAACAAAGUUUUUUCUCUUAGCUAAAUUAACUGAAGUUGGUGCUGUUGAACUCAUAAUAAAAUGGACUCUCACUGUGCAUUUCCUGUGAUCCUGUGGUUUUUGGAAAUUGACAAAUUCAACAACUGAAUUUUUUUUUUUUGGCAGUACUAUGGUAGAUGAGUAGUAGAUCACAUGCCAUGUCAUAUUCAGGCCAGUAGGUGCUAGAACACUGGUGAUACAGUAGGGUGAUUUUAUGAUGAAAACUUCAGUGAUGGCAGGGAUUGGAAUAAGACUCUCAUCAAUAAAAUCAACAGCCUGAAAUAGUAGCCAAUAGUACUCAUAAUGUGGCGAGAUCAGAGCACAUCCAUGUUUGUGGAUGUACAGUUAUUAUGGUGAGCUUUAACUAAAGAUAUUGGUUAUGCUUCCAAUCUCUGGGGACCACUCUGGCCCUAAAUGACUUGUUUCUCCAGUACAUGUUUGCCAGAAUAGACUAAUCUAAUGCCCUUCAUUCAGUGUUUGUGUGGUACAAGAAUAGCCAGGCUACUUAACACACCGGGCUGCAGGAAAGGAAGUGACACCAUACCUCGCUACACAAUCGGGCAGAUUAGCGUUGGGGGCAGUAAUCUGGUUUCAGCACCAUGGAUAGCGACACUCGCAGCCAGACAGCGGCCGACCGUUCAUUCGAGAUACACAUUUGGAUUUGUUUUAUAAAUUAUUUUUAACUUGCUAAAGCACUGCUAAAACAACGUAGGCUAUUGUCUAAUCUCAAUUUUGGGAAAUGUGGGCAUGGGAACUGUUAGUGCUUUUUUCUUGAAUAUUUACUUGCGGCUCACUUUGGUUUGAUUUAGACUAGAAUAAUCAGAGGGCAUUAGGAGGGUGUGGAUGUCUGUGUUCAUAACUCUGUGCGUAAAAACGGUGUGGACCAGCUGGUUGAGAAAGGAAAGCGAGAUUUAAUGGUGUGUGAGUGAAAGGUUAAGGGCGGAGGGAGAAGGUGAUAGGGAAGAGAGCUACGCGCUCAAGCGGGAGUGCGCGCGGGAAGCAAAUCGGU